rnacentral:rRNA from 1 species
GAUGAACGCUGGCGGCGUGCCUAAUACAUGCAAGUCGAGCGAACGGACGAGAAGCUUGCUUCUCUGAUGUUAGCGGCGGACGGGUGAGUAACACGUGGAUAACCUACCUAUAAGACUGGGAUAACUUCGGGAAACCGGAGCUAAUACCGGAUAAUAUUUUGAACCGCAUGGUUCAAAAGUAAAAGACGGUCUUGUUGUCACUUAUAGAUGGAUCCGCGCUGCAUUAGCUAGUUGGUAAGGUAACGGCUUACCAAGGCAACGAUGCAUAGCCGACCUGAGAGGGUGAUCGGCCACACUGGAACUGAGACACGGUCCAGACUCCUACGGGAGGCAGCAGUAGGGAAUCUUCCGCAAUGGGCGAAAGCCUGACGGAGCAACGCCGCGUGAGUGAUGAAGGUCUUCGGAUCGUAAAACUCUGUUAUUAGGGAAGAAUAUAUGUGUAAGUAACUGUGCACAUCUUGACGGUACCUAAUCAGAAAGCCACGGCUAACUACGUGCCAGCAGCCGCGGUAAUACGUAGGUGGCAAGCGUUAUCCGGAAUUAUUGGGCGUAAAGCGCGCGUAGGCGGUUUUUUAAGUCUGAUGUGAAAGCCCACGGCUCAACCGUGGAGGGUCAUUGGAAACUGGAAAACUUGAGUGCAGAAGAGGAAAGUGGAAUUCCAUGUGUAGCGGUGAAAUGCGCAGAGAUAUGGAGGAACACCAGUGGCGAAGGCGACUUUCUGGUCUGUAACUGACGCUGAUGUGCGAAAGCGUGGGGAUCAAACAGGAUUAGAUACCCUGGUAGUCCACGCCGUAAACGAUGAGUGCUAAGUGUUAGGGGGUUUCCGCCCCUUAGUGCUGCAGCUAACGCAUUAAGCACUCCGCCUGGGGAGUACGACCGCAAGGUUGAAACUCAAAGGAAUUGACGGGGACCCGCACAAGCGGUGGAGCAUGUGGUUUAAUUCGAAGCAACGCGAAGAACCUUACCAAAUCUUGACAUCCUUUGACAACUCUAGAGAUAGAGCCUUCCCCUUCGGGGGACAAAGUGACAGGUGGUGCAUGGUUGUCGUCAGCUCGUGUCGUGAGAUGUUGGGUUAAGUCCCGCAACGAGCGCAACCCUUAAGCUUAGUUGCCAUCAUUAAGUUGGGCACUCUAAGUUGACUGCCGGUGACAAACCGGAGGAAGGUGGGGAUGACGUCAAAUCAUCAUGCCCCUUAUGAUUUGGGCUACACACGUGCUACAAUGGACAAUACAAAGGGCAGCGAAACCGCGAGGUCAAGCAAAUCCCAUAAAGUUGUUCUCAGUUCGGAUUGUAGUCUGCAACUCGACUACAUGAAGCUGGAAUCGCUAGUAAUCGUAGACCAGCAUGCUACGGUGAAUACGUUCCCGGGUCU